rnacentral:lncRNA from 1 species
CGCGCCGUCAGCCCGUCAGGCCCACGCCGCGGCGAAGUUUUGACAGCUGCUCCAGUUGUUGUGGCCUUUUCAGCUUUAUUAUUUGUACAGUCAAAGGAAGCUUGGAGCAGGGAAGAAAGCUGCCAUAUGAAAGGUAAGCUACAAAUUAAAAGGAGAGAGGAAAUUGGGGUUUCUAGACAAUUAAAUUACUUAUCGUUGUGGUAUAUUGAACACAGAACUGCACACACAGCUAAGCUAGCACUCCACCACUGAGUUUUAUCCCUAGACUGAAUCGUUUUUAAAGAUUUUUUUUUAAAAAAUGUUUUUUGUUUGUAUUCGUGUCCGCAUGAGUUUAUGUACAUCAUGUAUGUGGAGAUACCUGAGAAGGCCAGAAGGUGUUCAGUCCCCUAGAUUGAGGUUACAGGCAAUUGUGAGCUGCCAUGUGGGCACUGGAAAUCAACUCCAGUUUCCUGCAAGAACAGUGCUCUGAAUCGCUAAGCCAGCUCUCCAGCCCCUGGACCUGGCUUUUAAAUAUAAACUUUUAAAAUAAAGCCUUUUUCUUUUGAUACUAGAAUAAGAAAAGUAUUCAUCUAAAAAAAAUUAAACGUUAUAUUAUUGUUGCUAUGGUUAAAAUAGAGGAAUGGGCAUGGAACCAGGUAUAGUGGCCCAUACCUUUAAUACCAGGACUAGAAAGACAGGCAGAUGGAUCUCUAUGAGUUUGGGGACAGCAUGGUCUGCAUAAGACAACCCAACCAAGACUACAUAGUGAGACCCUGUCUUUCAAAAAAAAAAAAAAAUUAGGGCUAUACAUAAUGAAACUUAUGAUACUUGGCUUCAGGUAUGUAGUUAUUCAUGUAAUUCAUAAAUUAAGAGAUGAUAGAACUUAAUAAAACAAAUUGUAAAAUAUAGCUCAAAAUCAAAUAGGCUUGAUGAUACAACCCUAUAACCCAGUACUUGGGAGGAGGAAGCAGGAGGAUGAGUAGUAGUUCAAAGACAUUUGUCACUCUGUAGUGGAAUGGAAGCCAGCCUAGGAAAUGCAUAGCACCCUAUCUC